rnacentral:rRNA from 1 species
UGGGGAAUUUUGGACAAUGGGCGCAAGCCUGAUCCAGCCAUGCCGCGUGCGGGAAGAAGGCCUUCGGGUUGUAAACCGCUUUUGUCAGGGAAGAAAUCUUCUGAGUUAAUACCUCGGGAGGAUGACGGUACCUGAAGAAUAAGCACCGGCUAACUACGUGCCAGCAGCCGCGGUAAUACGUAGGGUGCAAGCGUUAAUCGGAAUUACUGGGCGUAAAGCGUGCGCAGGCGGUUUUGUAAGACAGAGGUGAAAUCCCCGGGCUCAACCUGGGAACUGCCUUUGUGACUGCAAGGCUUGAGUGCGGCAGAGGGGGAUGGAAUUCCGCGUGUAGCAGUGAAAUGCGUAGAUAUGCGGAGGAACACCGAUGGCGAAGGCAAUCCCCUGGGCCUGCACUGACGCUCAUGCACGAAAGCGUGGGGAGCAAACGGGAUUAGAUACCCUGGUAGUCCACGCCCUAAACGAUGUCAACUGGUUGUUGGGAAGGUUCCUUCUCAGUAACGUAGCUAACGCGUGAAGUUGGACCGCCUGGGGAGUACGGCCGCAAGGUUGAAACUCAAAUGAAUUGACGGGGUCAUAGCUGUUUCCU